UACGGGGGGGGCAAGCGUUGUUCGGAAUUACUGGGCGUAAAGGGCGCGUAGGCGGCCUGCUAAGUCGAACGUGAAAUCCCUGGGCUCAACCCAGGAACUGCGUCCGAUACUGGUUGGCUUGAAUCCGGGAGAGGGAUGUGGAAUUCCAGGUGUAGCGGUGAAAUGCGCAGAUAUCAGGAAGAACACCUAUGGCGAAGGCAGCACUCUGGGACGGUACUGACGCUGAGACGCGAAAGCGUGGGGAGCAAACAGG
rnacentral:rRNA from 1 species